GAGCACUCAGCCCAAGAGAAAGCUGAGGCAGAAAGUGCUUAUGAGAAGAAGCUGUUGAAGCUGAGGCAGGAGGCUGCUACUAUGCAAUCUCAGAAAGAAGAGGAACGAGCUAGGGCUGAAAAUGCCAGGCAAGAGGUGCUGCUAGAGAAAGAGAGGGAGAAGAAGUCUUUGCUGGAGGCACUGCUCCAAACACAGGAAGAGUUGACAGAUGCCUGCCAGCAGCUGGAGCAGCUUCGCAAAGAGGUGAAGAAGCAACAGAAGGAGCAGGACACCUUGGAGGGGCUGCAAGCUGAGCUCCAGGAAGCUCAGAAUCAGAUGGAGGCAGUGGAGAGCAGGUACCAGGAAGAGGUCAAAACCCUCAAACAGGAAAUAGACGUUCUCCUUCCACAGAGAGACACCCUGCGAAACCAGGUGCAAGAGCUAGUAGUCACCAAGGAUUCCUG
rnacentral:lncRNA from 1 species